rnacentral:rRNA from 1 species
UACGUAGGUGACAAGCGUUGUCCGGAUUUACUGGGCGUAAAGAGCGCGCAGGCGGUCGAUCAAGUCGAGUGUGAAAGCCCCCGGCUCAACUGGGGAGGGUCAUUCGAUACUGAUCGACUCGAAGGCAGGAGAGGGUAGUGGAAUUCCCGGUGUAGUGGUGAAAUGCGUAGAUAUCGGGAGGAACACCAGUGGCGAAGGCGGCUUCCUGGACCUGUUCUGACACUGAGGAGCGAAAGCGUGGGGAGCGAUCCGG